GAUGAACGCUGGCAGCGUGCCUAAUACAUGCAAGUCGAGCGAACGGACGAGAAGCUUGCUUCUCUGAUGUUAGCGGCGGACGGGUGAGUAACACGUGGAUAACCUACCUAUAAGACUGGGAUAACUUCGGGAAACCGGAGCUAAUACCGGAUAAUAUUUUGAACCGCAUGGUUCAAAAGUGAAAGACGGUCUUGCUGUCACUUAUAGAUGGAUCCGCGCUGCAUUAGCUAGUUGGUAAGGUAACGGCUUACCAAGGCAACGAUGCAUAGCCGACCUGAGAGGGUGAUCGGCCACACUGGAACUGAGACACGGUCCAGACUCCUACGGGAGGCAGCAGUAGGGAAUCUUCCGCAAUGGGCGAAAGCCUGACGGAGCAACGCCGCGUGAGUGAUGAAGGUCUUCGGAUCGUAAAACUCUGUUAUUAGGGAAGAACAUAUGUGUAAGUAACUGUGCACAUCUUGACGGUACCUAAGCAGAAAGCCACGGCUAACUACGU
rnacentral:rRNA from 1 species